rnacentral:rRNA from 1 species
CCUACGGGUGGCAGCAGUGGGGAAUAUUGCACAAUGGGGGGAACCCUGAUGCAGCGACGCCGCGUGAGUGAAGAAGUAUUUCGGUAUGUAAAACUCUGUCAGCAGGGAAGAAGAACGACGGUACCUGACCCAGACGCCCCGGCUAACUACGUGCCAGCAGCCGCGGUAAUACGUAGGGGGCAAGCGUUAUCCGGAUUUACUGGGUGUAAAGGGAGCGUAGACGGCAGGGCAAGUCUGGAGUGAAAGGCCGGGGCCCAACCCCUGGACUGCUCUGGAAACUGUCCGGCUGGAGUGCAGGAGAGGUAAGUGGAAUUCCUAGUGUAGCGGUGAAAUGCGUAGAUAUUAGGAGGAACACCAGUGGCGAAGGCGGCUUACUGGACUGUAACUGACGUUGAGGCACGAAAGCGUGGGGAGCAAACAGGAUUAGAUACCCUUGUAGUC